GUCUAUUUUGUGACUCUCUCCCUCUUUCUAUAUGUGGCGCUUGUGUGUGUUUGUGUACAUGCAGAUGCAUAUGCCUACCCUCUUAACUCAUCUAAUUCCCAUAUAUGAAGUAAUAAUUUUACAGCAAAACAAAAGGUAUCUACUAAGCAGGUUAGCUAUUGGUCAGAAUUUUCACUAUGCCUUCGCACAAAUGUUUGACAAUAAUUAUUAUUGGUAAAUGAUUAGUUCUCUUAGUUAAGAUGUUUGUG
rnacentral:lncRNA from 1 species